UCAAGGAUAGCUCAGUGGUAGAGCACGUGCUUAGUAAGCACAAAGCCCUGGGUUCAAACCCCAGUACCAGAA
rnacentral:tRNA from 1 species